rnacentral:rRNA from 1 species
AUUGAACGCUGGCGGCAGGCCUAACACAUGCAAGUCGAGCGGAUGCAGGGAACUUGCUCCUGGAUUCAGCGGGCGACGGGCGGGUGAUGCAGAGGAAUCUGCCUGGUUGCGUGUGCUAACGUCCGGACACGGGCGCUCAUACCGCAUAAGUGCUGAGGGCGUACGGGUGGGAGCUUCGGACCUUCCGCCCUUGGGUGAGUGAAUGUGCCGAGGUCGGAUUAGCUAGUUGGAGGGGUAAAGGCCCACCAAGGCGACGAUCCGUAGCUGGUCUGAGAGGAUGAUCAGCCACACUGGAACUGAGACACGGUCCAGACUCCUACGGGAGGCAGCAGUGGGGAAUAUUGGACAAUGGGCGAAAGCCUGAUCCGGCCAUGCCGCGUGUGUGAAGAAGGUCUUCGGAUUGUAAAGCCCUUUAAGUGGGGAAGAAGAGCAGUAAGUUAAUACCUUGCUGUUUUGACGGUACCAACAGAAUAAGCACCGGCUAACUUCGUG